AUUGAACGCUGGCGGCAGGCUUAACACAUGCAAGUCGAGCGGGCGAGGUUGCUUCGGUAACUUAGCUAGCGGCGGACGGGUGAGUAAUGCUUAGGAAUCUGCCUAUUAGUGGGGGACAACAUUCCGAAAGGGAUGCUAAUACCGCAUACGUCCUACGGGAGAAAGCAGGGGAUCACUUGUGACCUUGCGCUAAUAGAUGAGCCUAAGUCGGAUUAGCUAGUUGGUGGGGUAAAGGCCUACCAAGGCGACGAUCUGUAGCGGGUCUGAGAGGAUGAUCCGCCACACUGGGACUGAGACACGGCCCAGACUCCUACGGGAGGCAGCAGUGGGGAAUAUUGGACAAUGGGGGGAACCCUGAUCCAGCCAUGCCGCGUGUGUGAAGAAGGCCUUUUGGUUGUAAAGCACUUUAAGUGGGGAGGAGGCUUACCUGGUUAAUACCUGGGCUAAGUGGACGUUACCCACAGAAUAAGCACCGGCUAACUCUGUGCCAGCCGCCGCAGUAA
rnacentral:rRNA from 1 species